rnacentral:rRNA from 1 species
UACGGAGGGUGCGAGCGUUGUCCGGAAUCACUGGGCGUAAAGGGCGCGUAGGUGGCGCGAGUAGUCAACGGUGAAAGCCCGGGGCUCAACCCCGGGUCGGCCGUCGAUACUCUCGUGCUUGAGCACUGUAGAGGCAGGUGGAAUUCCGGGUGUAGCGGUGGAAUGCGUAGAGAUCCGGAAGAACACCGGUGGCGAAGGCGGCCUGCUGGGCAGUAGCUGACACUGAGG